GACGAACGCUGGCGGCGUGCUUAACACAUGCAAGUCGAACGCUGAAGCUUGGAGCUUGCUCUGGGUGGAUGAGUGGCGAACGGGUGAGUAACACGUGAGUAACCUGCCCCUGACUCUGGGAUAAGCGCUGGAAACGGCGUCUAAUACUGGAUACGACCCAUAGAGGCAUCUCUUGUGGGUGGAAAGAUUUUUCGGUUGGGGAUGGACUCGCGGCCUAUCAGCUUGUUGGUGAGGUAAUGGCUCACCAAGGCGACGACGGGUAGCCGGCCUGAGAGGGUGACCGGCCACACUGGGACUGAGACACGGCCCAGACUCCUACGGGAGGCAGCAGUGGGGAAUAUUGCACAAUGGGCGCAAGCCUGAUGCAGCAACGCCGCGUGAGGGAUGACGGCCUUCGGGUUGUAAACCUCUUUUAGUAGGGAAGAAGCGUAAGUGACGGUACCUGCAGAAAAAGCACCGGCUAACUACGUGCCAGCAGCCGCGGUAAUACGUAGGGUGCAAGCGUUGUCCGGAAUUAUUGGGCGUAAAGAGCUCGUAGGCGGCUUGUCGCGUCUGCUGUGAAAUCCCGGGGCUCAACUCCGGGCCUGCAGUGGGUACGGGCAGGCUAGAGUGCGGUAGGGGAGAUUGGAAUUCCUGGUGUAGCGGUGGAAUGCGCAGAUAUCAGGAGGAACACCGAUGGCGAAGGCAGAUCUCUGGGCCGCUACUGACGCUGAGGAGCGAAAGCAUGGGGAGCGAACAGGAUUAGAUACCCUGGUAGUCCAUGCCGUAAACGUUGGGAACUAGAUGUAGGGCCUGUUCCACGGGUUCUGUGUCGUAGCUAACGCAUUAAGUUCCCCGCCUGGGGAGUACGGCCGCAAGGCUAAAACUCAAAGGAAUUGACGGGGGCCCGCACAAGCGGCGGAGCAUGCGAAUUAAUUCGAUGCAACGCGAAGAACCUUACCAAGGCUUGACAUAUUCGAGAACGCCCCAGAGAUGGGGAACUCUUUGGACACUCGUUUACAGGUGGUGCAUGGUUGUCGUCAGCUCGUGUCGUGAGAUGUUCGGUUAAGUCCGGCAACGAGCGCAACCCUCGUCCUAUGUUGCCAGCGGUUCGGCCGGGAACUCAUGGGAUACUGCCGUGGUCAACACGGAGGAAGGUGGGGAUGACGUCAAAUCAUCAUGCCCCUUAUGUCUUGGGCUUCACGCAUGCUACAAUGGCCGGUACAAUGGGUUGCGAUACCGUGAGGUGGAGCGAAUCCCAAAAAGCCGGUCUCAGUUCGGAUUGGGGUCUGCAACUCGACCCCAUGAAGUCGGAGUCGCUAGUAAUCGCAGAUCAGCAACGCUGCGGUGAAUACGUUCCCGGGCCUUGUACUCACCGC
rnacentral:rRNA from 1 species